rnacentral:RNase_P_RNA from 1 species
UUUUGGAGAGGAAAGUCCAGGCAACACAGAGCACCGCACUUCUCAAAAGGAAGGGGCCAUGCAGAAAUGUAUGGCAACAGAAAGUGCUGUAGAAAUUCAAACCGCCGAUGGUCUUCGGACACAGGUAAGGGUGAAAAGGUGAGGUAAGAGCUCACCAGUUCCGGAGUGAUCUGGAAGCUUGGGUAAACCUUGCGGGUUGCAAGACCAUGUACACUAAUGCUUGAGGGCUGCUCGUCCGAGUUAGGGGGUAGGUUGCUCAGAUAAAUGGUGAAUCGCUGCUGCGAACAGAACCUGGCUUACGU